UGAAAUUGAUUAACAAGGUUCUCAAUCAAAUCGCAUUUCGCAGGCCCUCUCUCUCUCGUCUUCCCCGCCUCGAUCCCUUCUCUCUCCCUCGCUCUCGCUCUCGCUCUACACGUAUACAUAAACACACAGAGGGAGCGAGAAUGGGAGGCCAAAAGUUCGCCGUGCUUCUUUGCGCCGAUGACUCGGAUUACGUGAAGAAAAUUUACGGCGGGUAUUAUGGAGUUUUCGUCAGAAUGCUCAAGGAGGAAGGGGAAGAUUGGGACGUAUUUAGGGUAGCGAAAGGCGAGUUUCCUGAUGAAAACGAGAUCGACGGCUACGAUGGUUUCGUCAUCACCGGAAGCUGCAAUGACGCUCACGGAAACGAUAAUUGGAUCUGCAAAUUGCUGAUUCUUCUGAAGAAAUUAGACGCCAUGAAGAAGAAGGUCCUCGGCAUUUGCUUUGGCCAUCAGAUACUGGGGCGAUCAAUUGGAGGAAAAAUCGGCCGGGCGAGUGCAGGAUGGGACAUCGGAAUCACAAAAGUUCAUCUGAAUCCAUCCAAUAUUUUCACUUAUCUGAAAAUGCCUACUUCCCUAUCUGUCAUCGAGUGCCACAGGGACGAGGUGUGGGAGCUCCCCCCUGAAGCAGAAGUUCUUGCGUGGUCGAACAAGACUGGGAUCGAAAUGUUUCAGUGUGGCGACCACAUUCUAGGCAUUCAAGGGCAUCCCGAGUACACAAAGGAUAUUCUUCUACACCUCAUUGACCGUCUGUUCUGCCGCAAUCUUAUUGAGGAGUCUCUUGCUAAAGAUGCGAAACACAAGGUGGAGGCGAGCGAGCCGGAUCGGGAGGCUUGGACGAAACUAUGCACUAGCUUUCUCAAAGGAAGAUUGUGAUGCUGCUGCAUCUAUACAUAUGCAUAAUAAGGUGAUGAAAUUUGAAGAUGUACAUAUUGAUCAAGGUCCAUUUUCACUAUCCAUUUUCACUCAGCUAUAAAUACAUAGAGGGGUGUCGAAUCUAAGCUUUGUUGAAGAUCAGAGUAAGCACAUUAAAUGGUGGAGAGUAUUCAGUUGAAGUUUAUCAUUGUAUCUUCUUUGAUAAGUAUGAGACAAUGGAAAAAAUAGGUGCAAAAGACAUUGAUACAAUGUUGCUAUUAUAAUGAUUACUUGGUUUUUUUGUUUUUUUUUUUUUUUGUAUCACAAUGGGAAAAUCCAUUGAAAAAUUAGGGAUGGAAGAUACUGUUCUGUACUCACAUUUAAUUGAAAUUGGAUUCAAUAAUUCGAGUAUUGAAAUAUGAUGAAUUGUGUAGUUAUAUCUAGUCAAAUCUAGUGUGUCUUUAUACCUAACCCAAAUCUAAAUUUGACAUAUCAAUAAUAUUAAAAAAAAAAAAAAAAAUCUCUAUUAUUGUAAUUAUUAAAAAUCAUUUUUUGUUAAAUUUACUUUAUUUACAUAUAAUGGUUUUAUUAUAUUGCCCCACCAAGAUUAUAUAAAUAUUUUAUUCGACUAUCAACUUAUGCAAUAAUAAAACACUUAUCCACUUGAGAAUAUAACAA